UGGUUCUGGCAUCGAUGAAGAACGCAGCGAAAUGCGAUAAGUAAUGUGAAUUGCAGAAUUCAGUGAAUCAUCGAAUCUUUGAACGCACAUUGCGCCCCCUGGUAUUCUGGGGGGCAUGCCUGUUCGAGCGUCAUUUCAACCCUCAAGCCUGGCUUGGUGAUGGGGCACUGCUUCUUAAACGGAGCAGGCCCUGAAAUACAGUGGCGAGCUCGCCAGGACCCCGAGCGCAGUAGUUAAACCCUCGCUCUGGACGGUACUGGCGCGGCCCUGCCGUAAAACCCCCAACUUCUGAAAAUUUGACCUCGGAUCAGGUAGGAAUACCCGCUGA
rnacentral:misc_RNA from 1 species